rnacentral:lncRNA from 1 species
AAGUGGAAGAUGAAGUAGAGGAAGUGAUUGAGGAGGAGCAGGAUGGUGAGGACGAAGAUAUUCAUGAAGUUGAAGUAGAAGGUGAUGCUGAUGAUGAUGAGCAUCCUGGGGAGGAAGCAGAGCAUGCAGAUUUGGAUGAUGCAACCGAGCAUGAAGAGCGACAUGAAGUUGUUCAAGAGAGACGCAAGCGUAAAGAGUUUGAAGUGUUUGUUGGGGGCUUGGACAAGGAUGCUACCGAAGAUGAUAUCAGGAAAGUGUUCAACCAAGUGGGUGAAAUUGUUGAAGUUAGGUUGAUGAUGAACCCUCAAACAAAGAAGAACAAGGGCUUUGCUUUCUUGCGAUUUGCAACUAUAGAACAAGCAAAACGUGCAUAUACUGAACUUAGGAAUCCCGUGGUAAUUAUUCUGUUCUUCAAUAAUAUUACUUUUCUGAAUUUCAAAAUGGAUCAACUUUAAAACUUAAAACUAUUUUGUUCUAAUGAUUGCAAUUCUAGAUCAAUGGAAAACAGUGUGGUGUUACCCCAAGUCAAGACAGUGACACCCUUUUUCUGGGUAAUAUAUGCAAGACAUGGACAAAGGAAGCAGUAAGUACAUGGGAUUAUUUAAGGUCACUAGCAAGUGGGCCAUCUUUGUAAAUGGUUAUAAGUAGAUAACAUGUGUUCGUUAUUGACUGUUGUUCCAGUUGAAAGAGAAGUUGAAACAUUACGGAGUUGACAAUGUUGAGGACUUAACAUUGGUCGAAGACAGCAACAAUGAAGGAAUGAAUCGAGGCUUUGCAUUUUUGGAAUUUGCAUCCCGUUCAGAUGCGAUGGAUGCUUUUAAGCGUCUUCAACGGAGAGAUGUUUUAUUUGGGGUUGAUAGGCCUGCAAAGGUUUCUUUUGCAGAUUCCUUCAUCGAUCCAGGUGAUGAAAUCAUGGCACAGGUAAAUUACUAAAACAAAUUUUCUUCUAAUAUAAUUUGUGGUUGGGUUGCUAUGGUUUGGUCCCAAGCUCUCAUGCCUCACAAGCCUCUUGCCACUAAACCAAGAGGUAGUUGGCUACAAAACAGUUUUUCUUUUUUGCUUUAGGUGGCAUGAACUACUGGGCUUGUAGGAAAUCAUAAAUGUGUCUUAUUGUGAGAGCUUGAUGAUUUUUUCUCCCAAUUUCAGGUUAGGACCAUUUUUAUUGAUUGCCUGCCUCCUUCUUGGGAUGAGGAUCGCGUUAGAGAGCUACUGAAGAAGUAUGGGGAGAUUGAAAAGAUUGAACUUGCCCGGGACAUGCCAUCUGCUGACAGGAAGGAUUAUGGUUUUGUCACAUUUGAUACUCAUGAUGCUGCUGUCACAUGUGCUAAGAGCAUUAAUAAUACCGAGUUGGGCGAAGGUGACAUCAAGGUUAGUCAAUAUUCUUGGUGUACCAUGUUGUUUACAUGACUUAGCUAUUACCUUGUCUAAUGGUUAUUCUUUUAUUUCAGGCCAAAGUUAGAGCCAGGUUAUCGAGACCACAUCAAAGAGGCAGAGGUAAGAACGUCAGCCGUGAUAGUUUCAGGUCUGGGCGUGGAUCUGGACGAGUAGUUAGGGGUUCAUGGGUUCGUCCUGAUUCACGUGGUUAUGCUACUCGUGGGAUGAGAGGAAUUAGUAGCCGUGCCCGUCCACCUAGUCUAAGGAGGCCUGUUGGACUAAGAGAUAGACGUCCUCUCAUGUCUGCACCAGCUAGUGGCAGACCUUUAUCACCUCCCCCUUCUAGAUCCUAUGACAGAAGAGCCCCUGGUAUGGCUCAAUCCUGCUUCAUGUCUACCUGAAUUCUUCAUUUUUUGAGAUUUAAAUUUCUUACUUCAAUCUUUUUUGACAGUUAUGCCUUAUCCAAAGGGUAGCUUUAAGAGGGAAUAUAGUCAACGUGAUGAGCUUCCUCGUCCAAGGAGCAGAGAAGUUAUGGAUUAUGGAUCUAGAGUUGUCCCUGAUAGACGAUCCACAUAUAGAGAAGAAUAUUCUUCUCGCAACCCUGGUUACUUUGAUUUGCCUAGAACCACAUCUCGUACUGCAGCGAGAAGACCGUAUGGAGAUGAUGCAUAUGCCCAAAGAUUUGAAAGACCUCCUCCUAGUUAUCGUGAGGGGCGUGGCCGUGAUUAUGACACUAUUUCUGGCUCAAAAAGGCCAUAUCCUGUUAUGGUUGGUCCCACAGUUCCUUCAAGUAAUUAUGUCAUCAUUGGCAUAUGAUUUAACAAUUUCCUAGCUGAUUAUGCCGUGUACUUGCUUGUUGAAUCAGGAUGAUGUCCCUCCACGAUAUGCUGAUGAUGGUCCGAGGCAUUCAAGGGCUCGUCUAGACUAUGAACUUGUUGGUGGUGCUCCUCCAUAUGUGGAUGCAUAUGGUGAUAGGUUUGUUAUUUAGGAGCUUUCUGGUGUUUAUUCUCUUUGUUCUGGAGCUUUAGUUAUCUUUUGUCUUAUUUUGAUAGGCUUGGGAGAUCCAAUCUAGGAUACGGUGGCAGCAGGAAUUCUAUAUCUAGUCAGACCUCACAUGGGCUAUAUGGCAGUCGUCAGGGCAUGGGCUAUGGUGGAGGUGUGUUCUAAGUUGCUGCUGAUUUGUUAAAAUUGAAAGAAGAGGGGUUCCUCCUGGGUGGGGUGGACGUAUUGUUGGUGUUUUCUGGUUUAAUGACUUUCAUUUGGUCUGGUUUUCAGGUUCUUUUAGCAGCAGUGAUGUUGGAGGAAUGUACUCAUCCUCUGGUUAUGGUGGUGAUUACAUACCUAGGGGAUCUGGUGUAUGUCCUUUUCCUUCUUUCUUUUGUUUGAUAUUUUAAAAACUAUACUAGCCUAUAUCGAUGUUCUUUUUCUGCUUCCAUGGCAGGUUGGUGGUAGCUCUUACUCAUCCAUGUACUCCAGUCGUGGUAUGGGUGGUAGCAGUUACAUGGGUGGUGGGGGUGGUUCUGGGUCAUACUACUGAUGUAAGUUCAAUUGUUUUUAUCCCUUUUACUUUUCGUGUUGUACCUGUGGACGUGUAAUAAUUAUCUUCUGCAGUAGUAUGCAUUUCUAAUGUAGAUUAGGCUUCCUGAAGAAGAUGGUUUAUAUGUUCUGAGAGGUGUAUUAGCAAGGUGAAUUUGUCCAUGAAACAGAUUUCGGAGACAGUGAGGCUUCCGUAGGGUGUGGAGCAUUCGAAGCUUUGGUUUUGGUACCCAUGGUAUUGGAUAGAAGCAUGCCAAGUGCUAUAGCCUCCAUACAUGGUAGUACAAGGUUUUGAGGCUUAAGUUCAAUGUGAAAGGCAGGGUGCUGGUUCAAACUGUUUCUAGUUUCAAGAUCAGGUUACUUGUGAUAGUGCGUAUUCAAGUUUAUGGUGUAAGGAAAACUAAUCUUACGUAGAGAUUAAACAGCAAGUGCUUAGAAUAUGCAGUAUAUGAACAAUAUUUACUUUUGUAUUUAAGAACCCUACCAAUGGAUAAUUUGGAAGCUUUUGUCACGAACUCUACUGGGCUGAGUAUUUGAGCGAGGAUUAAGUCAUUAAUUUACAUUUGGUUAUGGAUUUUGGAAACUUUGGCAUGCUGAACUCAACUGGUAAGUGUUGAUAAGGUAAGAAACAAGGCAUUAACAUCUUUCCUCAAGGGUGAUAAGCACUAAGAGAUCAAAUGGUACCUAUACCUGAAGAUUAUGUGAAAUCUUUAGAGGAUAUUCUUGUAUGCUUUUUUUGUACAAGCAUAUUGCAAUUCUUGGAAGUGGUGCUUGUGAAGCAAUGUACAUGCCAGGAGGAAAUUAAAGACUUACUUAACCUGAUCUGGUAAAGCUUGUACACUGUAGACACAUACUUUUGUUUUGGCUUGAUUUUUCUAUGGGAAUUCCCGACUAAGACGAAAUGGACUUGAUUCUAGUACAGGAAAGGACAUGGCUUCAACACUUGACAUGUUUGACUUUUUGGUCACUGUUGCACUUUUUAGUUCUAUUUGUUGGUAUCUUUCUUGAGAAAAGUUUCGUGUGUUCAAUUUUUUUUCAUUUUUCUGGUUUUGGGUUGUCCUUGGCCUUGUGGUGUAUGCUUGGCAAAGAUUUUGAACUUUUUGCUUAUGGACCCAUAGGAAAGUAUCUGUUUCUUACUGAAGGACCACUUCCUAAUGUCACAGCGGCUGCUAUUUCUUUUCUCCCUUGUUAUUGUUUGAUGAAGCAACUCUUUAUGAAGCUGUGCUCUCCAACUUGAGUUAUAUGGAUUUUGGGGGAAAUUUCUGUUUCUCAUUAUGAAGCAUCAUGAAAUGGUUUAUAGUUGUUUUGGCAAGUUGUUGGUAAAUGAAACCCUUGUGGAGGCAGUGCCUUACAAAUUGGGCUUAGAAGAGAAAUGAUUUUGGAAAAGUAGAAUUCUAAUUUGCUCAGAAAUCAAUGAAGCUGUGGGUUUUUAUGUUGGUGAUUUAAAAAAUGCUUUUUUAAGAAAACAUACUGAGCACAACCUUUAGUUGGAGUUACAAUUUGUUGAAAUCAUUGGCUUUUUACUAAAUUGUACUUGAGAAUAAGUGAGUUGCCUUCCCUCCCCCCAAGUAUUUUAGUGACGUUAUAAGUUAAUAAGAUACACUUCGAACUUUAUGCUAGAGAAGUGUAAAAAGUAUGGUCUAACAAGAUGUAUAAUGUCAUAUCUACGGGGUCUUCAUUAUGUUCAAUGAUAUUUAGUCCAUGGGUGGUUUAUUCUCAGUUCAAUGUGAAUAUUUAAGCAUAACGUCAUGUAAAGUAUUAAUGUAGGAUCAAAAUUGUUAGUUAACAGGCGAAUGGUUGGCCAGAUCUGCCACCGUUACUGAGCUCUUCACAGUUAAAAACUUGAUUGAUAUGCUUGUUCCAUCUCGCUUGGGCUGGUGCUUUAAAAUUAUUAGCAGGACUGCUACUUGUUUAGCAACCCAGCACUCUGACAUGAUGCUGGUUCUAGCUUUUGUAGUUUUUUUAUUCAUGUUAUUUUGGUAUCAAAUAAACUUGCGGGAUAGUGCAACAACAAGGCAACCAUGAUGCUGUAUAUACCAUAUUGCCUGUGGUGUUUUUUCUGGCUUGCUCUUUUUCCCCCUUUGGAAAUUUAGUUACUUUGGCAAAUAUAUGGAUUUACUGGUUGUAUCUGUGCUUGUUUCCGAGUUUGGGGGUCCAAAUCUUAUGUGCUCUGGGACUGGCCUGCAAAAAGGAGAGGAUCACAAGUUACUAAUUCAGUAAUAAAAUUAGGGGUGAGAGCGUAACUGCAUGCCUUCAUGAACAGACUAGGCAUAAGGAAGAGAAGGCAAUAGCUGUUUUUGAUGAAUGGCUCAACUUCUAUGGUAGACAUUGGCUCGUGGGUCUUUGCUGAUAACAUUAGUGCACAACUCUGUUCCCAAACAUUUUCUUCCUUAUUAUUUAUCCUUACUUUUUUUUGCCCUUAUAUCAAGUGCUCUUUUGCCCCAUUUUUCAUUAUUUCCUAGACUUGAUUUUGAUGAUGGUGCAGCAUGCUGAUAACUUGGUUUAGAAAUAUUAUUAUUGAUCCAUUGUUAUUAUCGCUGACUAAAUUCCAAAUAAUAAUGAACUAAUAUCUAUUGCAUUUAAGCUCAUGAAUGAUGACUGAUCGACAUAAGAUGUUUAAUGGCAUUGCAUCUGAAAGUGCUAAAAUUUGAUGUUACUGACAAUUUCGUUCCAGGUUUAUGUGUCCGCGUGUAUGUUGUAUUUCCAUGGAAAUCAAUCUACUUUUCUUCUCCGAAAUCGAUUUUUUAAAUUAGCACCAUUUUUGCUUUUCUUUUAUACGUACUUCAUUCACUGGUAGCUUUGAAUUCAUGGGACGGUGUUUUCUGGGAGUGUCUUUCAACUUGUCAUCACUAAUUAGUUUAUGAUGUUAAUGGCCAAAAGAAAUAAAAGGAAAAUAGUUGCAAUUUUUAAAGAUAAACGAUUAUGUAAGUUUUUAGAAACAAAAAGAUUAAAAAAGUCCCAUUUGGUCACUUCCAUUUUCGACAUUAGUAUUUUUUAAAAAUAAAUUAAUUUUUGCCAAUUUUGAAAGUACUGAUUUCAGUAGUAUGUCCAUCAAAUGUCACAAUCAAGUGUAAUGUAGUAAAGAAGUCAAGCUAAUACCUAAAACCAGUAAACGUGUUAUUCCCCAUUGCCAGUAAAAUUGCAGAUGAAAUUGGAAAGGAUGCUGCCUUGAUACUUGGAUCGAGGAUAAUAUAUAUCUUCACAGUUUGUACUUGGACGACGAAUAUCCGACUAGUCAAAUGGAGGAUAAUGUUGUCCGCGCAGUAGUAAGCUCUUUGUAAACAAUAUAUGACAAAGCCAACAAAGAGCAAAAGAAUGUACGGAAUAAACGGCGGCAACUCCGCCAUAGCAAGACAUUCCCCUGCUAGUUAAUAUGUAAGGGGCAUGUAUACGACUAUACAACAUUUCAGCUGCCGAUUCAACCAAUUCAUUCUGUUCUUCAGCGAACAUAUCACCUAUAAAACCCCAAAAUGUGUACUUAAUAGCAAGAAUCAAUGUGCGUGGAUGACUGACAAGUUCACAGAAACAAAAGUUUAACAAUUAUAUGUGUCAAAACAAUUAGUGACUUAUUAAGGGCUCAAUCAGGUCCUCACGGAUAACUAUUUUAUUAAAUACAUUUUCAAGUGACUCAUUGUUGAACCAUACAAAGUUGAUUGUCCGUGAAUUUCUUUUAAACUAGUUAAGAAUUCGCUCGCCUUUGAUCAUUUGCUUUUAUCUUUUAAAAGGGAACAUAGAGAGAUUACGAAACUAUAACGAUUGUACAAUUUUAAUAAAGAGAACACCAAAGUAGGAUCACAUAGUACUAUUACUAUACUUGACAACUGACAUGUAACAAAAAUGCUACUUAACUGAUCACACAAACAAUCUACUAUUUGUAUUGCCGGGUGACCUGAUUCUACCAAAUCAUGGAACCUCCCCUAUAUGUACCAAAUAUUGUUAAGUGAAUAUGUUGGAUAUAGGUGUUAUAUCUCAAUGUUUUAAACAUAUUUACUGGUUUAAAUAAAUUAUAUAAUUACAAAUAUAAAUUUUCUCGUAUAAAAGAAUCAAGAAUCUUUAAAAGAAAACCUUCCUAUUGGACUAGAAGUCUCAAUGUGCCAAUGAUUAUUGCUUCUUGCUUUUAUAUAUUUACGUGGAUUAUUAUUUUAUUUUUUGUUUCUUAAAGGAUCCAUUGAAGUGAACUUAAUAAUUAAUUUUUUAUGUUUUGUAAGUUCAUUAAGGAUUAAACAUUGAACAUAAAUUUUUUAAUUUUAUAAAUCAAGUUAAAAAAUUGUGAUACAUAUUAUCUUAUAUUGUUUAUUUAGGUAGCAAAAGGACGUGUGAUGUGGUUUUAAUGCAGAAAACUCAAUCAUUAAAUAUAACAAAUGAUGAUAUUUUAUUUAUUGUUGAUUUUAUUGAUUUCUUGAUCCAUGAGGUCUAAGUUUAAUAAUUGCAAUAAAAAUGAUUUAGAAAAAUACAACAGUUUCUUAUUGUGGAAAUUCACUUCUUAAUUAUCCAUAAAUUUUCUUUUAAGAAAGUAUAAUAUGAAUUUACAAAACGAAGGGCAAAAUUUUUAUAAGAACUUGCAACGUUACUGAUUUCUACGGAGGAAGAUUACGGUACUAUAACAGUGCCACGUAAGAUUAGACGGCGAGCGAGGAAAGAUCCUAUGCGGCCAUGCUUCAGCUUAUACCUUAAGAUCCAAGCAAACAAAUCAUGGUUAGAUGAGGUGAUAAUGUCAGCUGCUUCACUCUCCAUGCUUUCCACGUGUCUUCGUCGCCCAAUAGAGAAAUACCUCUGUUUCAUUAAACUAAUAAUAAAAUGUAAACUUAUUUAAUAAUAAUAAUAAUAUCAACACUUCAAAAAAAUAUCAACUGUAGAACGUGUAUCAUGAUUUUAUUUAAAUAACAUCUUUGAUUAGGCCGUAAACUUAAAUCGAUAAGAAAUUACAUUACGACACAUUCACAAUAUACAUAAUAAAUUUCGAAAUUUAAUAAAUAUUUAAAUAUGAAUUUAAUUAAAAUAAUAAAGUUGAGAUUAUAAAUUAUAAUAUUUUGACUAUGAAUUUCAUCGCAUAUAAAUAGUUUUUUUUUUAUAAAAUUUACAUGAACAUACAAAAUUAUCUUCAAUUAAUAUCUAUUGAUGUAAUGCUUAAAAUUACUAAUAAUCUCUAUCCACCCUUAAAUAGGAGUAUAUUCAUGCUUCCAUAUUCUCUUGCUCUGACAAUAAUAUUGAUAUCAGCCGAACUAUUACUCAAUUAACAUAAUUUGUUGUAACUUUAUAAUUGAACAUGUCAGUUAAAAUUGUAAUAAAAUAUAGAUAGAGAGAUUAAUAAUAUUACAAAUAAGAAUGGUAUGCAUCUAAAAUUUUUAUAUUUUAAAAAAUGAAAUGUUUUUUUUAAACGUGACUCAAUUUUCUGAUUUUUUUACAAAAACAAUAUUAAAAAUAUAAAAUGGCGUGGGAAAUAAAUUAAUUUUUUAUUAGUACCGUGACAGUAUUAGUACGUAUUUUUAAAAGAUAUCACUAUUUUUAUGGGUAUACGCAUUAAAAAAACCAAAAAAAAAAAAAAGAAAAUUGCUGAAAAAAAAAGAUCAGAUGAAAACGAGAAAAUGAAAAAAGAAGAAGCUUGAAUUAAAUCAAAAGACAAACUUUAGGACACUAGCUACCGAUUUGUUUUAUUGUUGGGAGAAUUAAAUUAAAAAGAAAUUUUGGGAAGUGAAAUUAACCAUAGAUAACUAUAACUAUAAUAAAAACAAAAAUAAUUUUGGGUUGAGAAAAUUAAAUUAAAAAUAUGUAUUUUAAAAAUUUUAAAAAUAUAUAUUUUCAGGCGACACUGAUAAAAAAAAACAUUUAAACUUCAACUGCUUUUUUUUUCUCUAUAUUAAAAAAGAAAGACCACAUUUUUGUCUCUAUUAUUUUUUCAAAAUAGCGAUCUAUAUAUAUAUAUUAAACGAUGACAUAGUCCGUGCGCGCGCAUAUAUAUAUCUAAAUAAACCAGGAGACCAACCUCAAACCGUGUAUUAAAUUCACCCUAGAACCAGAUUUCCAAAACAAAAUUCACGUCUUUUUCCUCUUUGUCACUCUCUCUAUUCCCCCCGUUUCAUUCGCAUACUUAGGGUUAGGGUUUUUUAUUGCGAUUUUAGAUAUUUCCUUAUUUACUUCUCUUUAAGUUAGGAUAUUUAAUUUGGAUUCCGUUUCGACUUAUCUAGGAGUUCUCAUCAAUCCGUGGGUUUUAAUUUUUCUCUUUGUUCUAUCGGAAGUUUCAAUUAUCCCUUUUUCCUUUAUCGAAUUCAGAUAUCUCAGUCGUGUGGUUUCUAAACAAUGCCUCCUAGAACCGUGAAGAGAGGAGCCGCGGCCGGUGGUCCAAAGAGAACGCCGAGGUCCACUAGAGGGGCGUCCAAAUCCGAGAAUCCACCAGCGGAGCCUGUACACGAGGCCGUGAAUUCAAAGGAGGCUUCAGUUCCAGUUGAGGAGGUCGUGGAGACCGUUAAGGCUGUUGAGAAACCAACUCCGGAGCAAAAAGUGGUGAUCGAGGAGAAAGGGGUUGCUGAGGAGGAAAACACCGGUUUAAAUUUGAAUUCCAAUGGGUUGGUUGCGAUGAAGAGUAAGUCUUUGGUUUGCUUUUGGUUCAUCCGAUUUGCUUUCAAUCUGAUGGAUUUGGGCAUCUGCAAGUUUGAAAAUUAUAUGGCACGUCGCCAUUAUACAAAACUGUAGCUUUUAUUGUAGUUUUGUGGGCUAUUCCUGGAAUUUAGCAUGUUAUAAAGUGUCUGAUUUCCGUUGGAUCAUAUUUGGUAUCACAUAAACGUAUCCUUGUCCAUUUAUUUCCCUGUCCGAGAAUUUGCAAGGUUCACAAUCAUUAUCUUUACGAGAAUUUGGAUUGUUGAGAUAUUUUUGUUUCUAUUAGAAUUUCGUAUCAAUUGCUUUAAGGUGAUUGCUUCUUGGCUGGCCUUGAUUAUUCUAUCCCUUCUUUGUCGCAGAAGAGAAUGACUCUAAGGAGUCUAUUGAGGAGUAUGAAAAAGAUGAGAGGUUAGAGUUGGAUGAUAAUGAACCUGAAUAUGAAGCUGAAGAAUAUGGUGGGGUGGAUUAUGACGAGAAGGAGAUGGAUCCUGAUGAAGUGGAAGAUGAAGUAGAGGAAGUGAUUGAGGAGGAGCAGGAUGGUGAGGACGAAGAUAUUCAUGAAAUUGAAGUAGAAGGUGAUGCCGAUGAUGAUGAGCAUCCCAGGGAGGAAGCAGAGCAUGCAGAUUUGGAUGAUGCAACCGAGCAUGAAGAGCGACAUGAAGUUGUUCAAGAGAGACGCAAGCGUAAAGAGUUUGAAGUGUUUGUUGGGGGCUUAGACAAGGAUGCUACCGAAGAUGAUAUCAGGAAAGUGUUCAACCAAGUGGGUG